rnacentral:rRNA from 1 species
UGGGGAAUUUUGGACAAUGGGGGAAACCCUGAUCCAGCCAUCCCGCGUGUGCGAUGAAGGCCUUCGGGUUGUAAAGCACUUUUGGCAGGAAAGAAACGUCGCGGGUUAAUACCCCGCGAAACUGACGGUACCUGCAGAAUAAGCACCGGCUAACUACGUGCCAGCAGCCGCGGUAAUACGUAGGGUGCAAGCGUUAAUCGGAAUUACUGGGCGUGAAGCGUGCGCAGGCGGUUCGGAAAGAAAGAUGUGAAAUCCCAGAGCUUAACUUUGGAACUGCAUUUUUAACUACCGGGCUAGAGUGUGUCAGAGGGAGGUGGAAUUCCGCGUGUAGCAGUGAAAUGCGUAGAUAUGCGGAGGAACACCGAUGGCGAAGGCAGCCUCCUGGGAUAACACUGACGCUCAUGCACGAAAGCGUGGGGAGCAAACAGGAUUAGAUACCCUGGUAGUCCACGCCCUAAACGAUGUCAACUAGCUGUUGGGGCCUUCGGGCCUUGGUAGCGCAGCUAACGCGUGAAGUUGACCGCCUGGGGAGUACGGUCGCAAGAUUAAAACUCAAAGGAAUUGACGGGGUCAUAGCUGUUUCCUG